rnacentral:tRNA from 1 species
UCAUAGCUCAGUUGUUAAAAAGUCUGCCUGCAAUGCAGGAGACCCAGGUUCAAUUCCUGGGUUGGGAA